GGGUCAUUAGGUUGGUCGUGCCACCGGUACGUACUGGUCUCACUGAUUCCUCCUUCCUGAAGAACCGUAAUGCCAUUAAUUUGGUGUUGCGGGGAAACAGGACUGUUACUUUGAAAAAAUUAGAGUGUUUAAAGCAAGCUAACGCUUGAAUACAUUAGCAUGGAAUAAUGAAAUAGGACGAUCGAUCCUAUUUUGUUGGUUCCUAGGAUUGACGUA
rnacentral:rRNA from 1 species